CGUGCAGGCGGUUGGGUAAGUUGGAUGUGAAAGCUCCUGGCUUAACUGGGAGAGGUCGUUCAAUACUGCCUAACUAGAGGACGGUAGAGGAAGGUAGAAUCCUGGUGUAGUGGUGAAAUGCGUAGAUAUCAGGAGGAAUACCAGAGGCGAAGGCGGCCUUCUGGGCCGUUCCUGACGCUAAGACGCGAAAGCAUGGGUAGCGAACG
rnacentral:rRNA from 1 species